rnacentral:rRNA from 1 species
AUUGAACGCUGGCGGCAGGCUUAACACAUGCAAGUCGAGCGGGGGAGGUUGCUUCGGUAACUGACCUAGCGGCGGACGGGUGAGUAAUGCUUAGGAAUCUGCCUAUUAGUGGGGGACAACAUUCCGAAAGGGAUGCUAAUACCGCAUACGCCCUACGGGGGAAAGCAGGGGAUCUUCGGACCUUGCGCUAAUAGAUGAGCCUAAGUCGGAUUAGCUAGUUGGUGGGGUAAAGGCCUACCAAGGCGACGAUCUGUAGCGGGUCUGAGAGGAUGGUCCGCCACACUGGGACUGAGACACGGCCCAGACUCCUACGGGAGGCAGCAGUGGGGAAUAUUGGACAAUGGGCGGAAGCCUGAUCCAGCCAUGCCGCGUGUGUGAAGAAGGCCUUUUGGUUGUAAAGCACUUUAAGCGAGGAGGAGGCUCUUAAGGUUAAUACCCUUGAUGAGUGGACGUUACUCGCAGAAUAAGCACCGGCUAACUCUGUGCCAGCCGCCGCCGUAAUAC